UGGGGGAUAUUGCACAAUGGGCGAAAGCCUGAUGCAGCAACGCCGCGUGAGGGAAGACGGUUUUCGGAUUGUAAACCUCUGCCUUCGGUGAAGAAAAAAAUGACGGUAGCCGAGGAGGAAGCCACGGCUAACUACGUGCCAGCAGCCGCGGUAAUACGUAGGUGGCGAGCGUUGUCCGGAAUUACUGGGUGUAAAGGGAGCGUAGGCGGCUUAAUAAGUCAGAUGUGAAACCCCGGGGCUUAACUCCGGAAUGGCAUUUGAAACUGUUGAGCUUGAGUGCAGGAGAGGAAAGCGGAAUUCCUAGUGUAGCGGUGAAAUGCGUAGAUAUGACACAGAACACCAAUCGCGAAGGCAGCUUACCAAGCAAUAACUGACGCUCAUGCACGAAAGCGUGGGGAUCAAACA
rnacentral:rRNA from 1 species